rnacentral:rRNA from 1 species
CCUACGGGAGGCAGCAGUAGGGAAUCUUUCACAAUGGUCGAAAGCCUGAUGGAGCAACGCCGCGUGCAGGAUGAAGGCCUUCGGGUUGUAAACUGCUUUUAUAAGCGAGAAAUAUGAUGGUAACUUAUGAAUAAGGAUCGGCUAACUACGUGCCAGCAGCCGCGGUCAUACGUAGGAUCCGAGCAUUAUCAGGAGUUACUGGGUGUAAAGAAGUGCGUAGGUUGCAUAAUAAGUAGCUAGUGAAAUCUGGUGGCUCAACCAUUCAGACUAUUAGCUAAACUGUUAAGCUCGAGACCGUUAGGGGUAACUGGAAUUUCUAGUGUAGGAGUGAAAUCCGUAGAUAUUAGAAGGAAAACCAAUAGCGUAGGCAGGUUGCUGGGACGGUUCUGACACUAAGGCACGAAAGCGUAGGGAGCAAACGGGAUUAGAUACCCGAGUAGU